UCCGGUUUGGCACCGGCAGUCUUCCUAGAGUCCCCGACAUAACUCGCUGGCAACUAGGGACGGGGGUUGCGCUCGUUGCGGGACUUAACCCAACAUCUCACGGCACGAGCUGACGACAGCCAUGCACCACCUGUGCACAGGCCCCGAAGGGCUGCCGUAUUUCUACGACAUUCCUGUGCAUGUCAAGCCUCGGUAAGGUUCUACGCGUAGCGUCAUAUUAAACCACAUCCUCCUCUGCUUGUGCGGGUCCCCGUCAAUUCCUUUGAGUUUUAGCCUUGCGGCCGUACUUCCCAGGCGGCAUACUUAUCGCGUUAGCUUCGACGCACAGGGGGUCGAUACCCCAUACGUAUAGUAUGCAUCGUUUACGGCGUGGACUAC
rnacentral:misc_RNA from 1 species